UACAUGUGGGGCAAGCGUUGUUCGGAAUUACUGGGCAUAAAGGGUGCGUAGGUGGGCAAGUAAGUCAGUGGUGAAAUCUCCGGGCUUAACCCGGAAACUGCCAUUGAUACUAUUUGUCUUGAAUACUGUGGAGGUCAGCGGAAUAUGUCAUGUAGCGGUGAAAUGCUUAGAUAUGACAUAGAACACCAAUUGCGAAGGCAGCUGGCUACACAAAUAUUGACACUGAGGCACGAAAGCGUGGGGAUCAAACAGG
rnacentral:rRNA from 1 species